rnacentral:tRNA from 1 species
UGGCUGAGUGUUAAAGCGCUUGACUUAUGAUCCGGAGGACACCGGGUUCGAAUCCUGG